rnacentral:rRNA from 1 species
GAACUAGUUUACUAGUUGGGUGGCGAGUGGCGGACGGGUGAGUAACGCGUAGGAAUAUGCCUUAAAGAGUGGGACAACCUGGGGAAACUCAGGCUAAUACCGCAUGAGCUCUGAGGAGGAAAGCUGGGGACCUUAUGGCCUGGCGCUUUAAGAGUAGCCUGCGUCCGAUUAGCUAGUUGGUGGGGUAAGGGCCUACCAAGGCGACGAUCGGUAGCUGGUCUGAGAGGAUGAUCAGCCACACUGGGACUGAGACACGGCCCAGACUCCUACGGGAGGCAGCAGUGGGGAAUAUUGGACAAUGGGGGGAACCCUGAUCCAGCAAUGCCGCGUGUGUGAAGAAGGCCUGAGGGUUGUAAAGCACUUUUGUUGGGGAGGAGUCUUGUUAGGUUAAGAGCUAGAUGAGAGGACGUUACCCAAAGAAAAAGCACCGGCUAACUCCGUGCCAGCAGCCGCGGUAAUACGGAGGGUGCGAGCGUUAAUCGGAAUUACUGGGCGUAAAGGGUGCGUAGGUUGCUGAUUAAGUUAUCUGUGAAAUUCCUGGGCUUAACC